AGAGUUUGAUCCUGGCUCAGAACGAACGCUGGCGGCAGGCUUAACACAUGCAAGUCGAACGCACCGCAAGGUGAGUGGCAGACGGGUGAGUAACGCGUGGGAACGUGCCCUUCAGUUCGGGAUAACCCAGGGAAACUUGGGCUAAUACCGGAUACGUGCGAGAGCAGAAAGAUUUAUCGCUGAAGGAUCGGCCCGCGUCUGAUUAGCUAGUUGGUAGGGUAAUGGCCUACCAAGGCGACGAUCAGUAGCUGGUCUGAGAGGAUGAUCAGCCACAUUGGGACUGAGACACGGCCCAAACUCCUACGGGAGGCAGCAGUGGGGAAUAUUGGACAAUGGGCGCAAGCCUGAUCCAGCCAUGCCGCGUGAGUGAUGAAGGCCUUAGGGUUGUAAAGCUCUUUCGUCCGGGACGAUAAUGACGGUACCGGAAGAAGAAGCCCCGGCUAACUUCGUGCCAGCAGCCGCGGUAAUACGAAGGGGGCUAGCGUUGUUCGGAAUCACUGGGCGUAAAGGGCGCGUAGGCGGCCUGAUAAGUCGGGGGUGAAAGCCUGUGGCUCAACCACAGAAUUGCCUUCGAUACUGUCGGGCUUGAGACCGGAAGAGGUAAGUGGAACUGCGAGUGUAGAGGUGAAAUUCGUAGAUAUUCGCAAGAACACCAGUGGCGAAGGCGGCUUACUGGUCCGGUUCUGACGCUGAGGCGCGAAAGCGUGGGGAGCAAACAGGAUUAGAUACCCUAGUAGUCC
rnacentral:rRNA from 1 species